GAUGAACGCUGGCGGCGUGCCUAAUACCUGCAUGGCGAGCGAACACACCACGAACUUGCUCCUCUGAAGUUGGCGACGGACGGGUGAGUAGCACGUGGAUUACCUACCUAUAAUACUGGUAUAACGUCCGGAAACCGGAGCUAAUACCGGAGUAAUAUAGUGAACCGCCCGGUUCAUUAGGGAAAUACGGAUUUGCUGUCACUUAUACAUGGAUCCGAGCCGAAUUAGCUAGUUGGUAAUGAAACGGCUUACCAACGCGACGAUGCCUAGCCACACCUGAUAGGGUGAUCUGCCACACUGGAACUGAGACUCGGUCCACACUCCUACGGGAGGCAUGACUACGGAAUCUUCCGCACUGGGCGAGAGCCUGACCGACCCUCACCGCGCGAGAGAUGAGUGUCUUCCGAUCGAAGAACUCUGUUAUUAAGCAAGAUCAUAUGUGUGAGUAACUAUGCGCGUCUUGACCGUACCUAAUCAUAGAGCCUCAGCUAAGUACGUGCCAUCAGCCGCGGUAAUACUUAAGUGGCUAGCGUCAUCCCGAAUUAUUGGGCAUGAAGCGCCGCGCAUGCUGCUUUUUAAGUCUGAUGUGAAACCCCACGGCUCCUCCGUGGAGGGUCAUUGCAAACUGGAAAACUUGAGUGCAGAAGAGGAGAGUGGAAUUCCAUGUGUAGCGGUGAAAUGCGCAGAGAUAUGGAGGAACACCGGUGGCGAAGGCGACUUUCUGGUCUGUAACUGACGCUGAUGUGCGAAAGCGUGGGGAUCAAACAGGAUUAGAUACCCUGGUAGUCCACGCCGUAAACGAUGAGUGCUAAGUGUUAGGGGGUGUCCGCCCCUUAGUGCGGCAGCUAACGCAUCAAGCACUCCGCCUGGGGAGUACGACCGCAAGGUUGAAACUCAAAGGACUUGACGGGGAGCCGCACAAGCGGUGGAGCAUGUGGUUUAAUUCGAAGCGACGCGAAGAACCUUACCAAAUCUUGACAUCCUCGGACCCCUGCAGAGAUAGAGUUUUCCCCUUGGGGGGACAGAGUGACAGGUGGUGCAUGGUGGUGGUCAGCUUGUGUGUUGAGACGGUGGGUCAAGUCCAGCAAGGAGGGCAACCCUUUAGGUUAGUUGCCAUCACUAAGCUGGGCAAUGUAAGUAGACCGCCGGUGACAAACUGGAGGAAGGUGUGGGAUGACGUCAAAUCAUCAUGCCCAUUAUGCUCUGCGCCUACCCGGAGUGUUACAUAUGGGCAAUACAAAGGGCAGCGAGACCGUGAGGUCAAGCAAAUCCCAGUAAAGUCGUUGUCAGUUCGGAUGUUAGUCUGCAAGAUGGACCUACUACGAAGCCGGGACCGCUCGUAAUGGUAGAUAGGCAUGAUGCGGUGAAUAAGUUCUCGGCUUG
rnacentral:rRNA from 1 species